rnacentral:rRNA from 1 species
GACGAACGCUGGCGGCGUGCUUAACACAUGCAAGUCGAACGGAAAGGCCCUGCUUUUGUGGGGUGCUCGAGUGGCGAACGGGUGAGUAACACGUGAGUAACCUGCCCUUCACUUUGGGAUAACUUCAGGAAACUGGGGCUAAGAUCGGAUAGGAGCUCCUGCUGCAUGGUGGGGGGUGGAAAGUUUCGGCGGGUGGGGAUGGACUCGCGGCUUAUCGGCUUGUUAGUGGGGGAGUGGCUUACCAAGGCUUUGACGGGUAGCCUGCCUGAGAGGGUGACCGGCCACAUUGGGACUGCGAUACGGCCCAGUCUCCUACGGGAGGCAGCAGUGGGGAAUAUUGCACAAUGGGCGGAAGCCUGAUGCAGCAACGCCGCGUGCGGGAUGACGGCCUUCGGGUUGUAAACCGCUUUCGCCUGUGACGAAGCGUGAGUGACGGUACUGGGUAAAGAAGCACCGGCUAACUACGUG